rnacentral:rRNA from 1 species
AACGAACGCUGGCGGCGUGCCUAACACAUGCAAGUCGAGCGAGAAAGCCCGCAAGGGUGAGUAAAGCGGCGCACGGGUGCGUAACACGUGGGUAAUCUGCCCUGAAGUCCGGAAUAACUCGCCGAAAGGCGUGCUAAUGCCGGAUAAGACCACGGGAGCCUCGGCUCCUGCGGGAAAAGGUGGCCUCUGUAUACAAGCUAUCACUUCAGGAUGAGCCCGCGGCCCAUCAGCUCGUUGGCGGGGUAAUGGCCCACCAAGGCUACGACGGGUAGCUGGUCUGAGAGGACGAUCAGCCACACUGGAACUGAGACACGGUCCAGACUCCUACGGGAGGCAGCAGUGGGGAAUCUUGCGCAAUGGGCGAAAGCCUGACGCAGCAACGCCGCGUGUGUGAUGAAGGUCUUCGGAUCGUAAAGCACUGUCGCGAGGGACGAAUAAGGGGCGGGUUAACAUCCCGUUCCGAUGACGGUACCUCGAGAGGAAGCACCGGCUAACUCUGUGCCAGCAGCCGCGGUAAUACAGAGGGUGCAAGCGUUGUUCGGAAUUAUUGGGCGUAAAGCGCGUGUAGGCGGCUUUGUAAGUUGGGUGUGAAAGCCCUCGGCUUAACCGAGGAAGUGCGCCCAAAACUGCAUGGCUUGAGUACCGGAGAGGGUGGCGGAAUUCCCGGUGUAGAGGUGAAAUUCGUAGAUAUCGGGAGGAACACCAGCGGCGAAGGCGGCCACCUGGACGGAUACUGACGCUGAGACGCGAAAGCGUGGGGAGCAAACAGGAUUAGAUACCCUGGUAGUCCACGCCGUAAACGAUGAGCGCUAGGUGUUGUGGGUGUUGACCCCUGCAGUGCCGCAGCUAACGCAUUAAGCGCUCCGCCUGGGAAGUACGGCCGCAAGGCUAA